GCCCCUGUUCCCUGACAGCCACGUGUUGGCCGGUUGUACAUCAGCCCUACGGCUGCCCGACCCCGGGACCCCGAGCCGGGUCACAGCCACACGGGGUGGGGGAACCGGGCCAGUGGGGGGAGGCCCACGUGUCAUCGCAGCUGCCAGGCCUCUGUGAUGCUCCCGUCCCUCUGUGCUACAUGACUCUCUCUCCGGCCCUUCUGGAUGGAGCUCCCACCUCGGCCCUCACUUGGAGUCACCCCGGGAGCCUACAAAAAAUUGCCUUAGAAUCUCCAGAGGUUCUAGGUAUGGCCCAGGCAUCAGGAUUUUGGAAGCCCUUUGGAUGACUCCAGGGGCAGCCGAGGUUGGGAACACAAGCUCCAGGUUCAGGAGCAGAGCCGAGGCCCACAGGCUUGAAGGCUGGGCCCCACUCCACUGCAAGGAUCACACGGCCUGAGGGGUGAGCAGAGCCCUGCAGUUGUGCAGUCCUUAAGGUGUGCAACUGGACCCGGCAGCCCUGAUGGGAGCACGGGAGAGAACGAGCAUCCAACCUCCUUUGUUGAGAAAUAACUAUGCAAAGGUGCAGGUUCGACUCCCGGUCCUACUGUCCGUUCAGGAAAUUUGUACUCAGUUCCUCCAACCACCAGUCAUGGAGCCUGAUGGUCUCAGGAAGGAGACAGACAGAAAACAAAGAAUCUCACAAAUGAAUAUAUAAUAACAAGUUUGACACAUGCACGGGAUGGAAGAUAUCAACAAGCUGACCCAGAGGUGAAGACAUUCCCCUGGAUUAUCCACGUGGGUCCGACGGAACCACAAAGAGCCUUCAAAGUGGAAGAUAGCAUAUAUUUAAUGUUAUACGUCAGUUAUGCCUCAAGGAAAAAGACGGGGAAGAGAGAAUUAAAAGCAGAGAGACAGCCGAGUGAGGACCUCCUCGAAGUUGCCGGCCUGAGGACAGAGGAAGGGGCCGGGAGCCAUGGCACCGCAUCCUGCCAACAACCCAAAUGAGCAGGAAACAGGUGCUCCCCAGAGCCUCCAGACGGGAGUGCAGCCGGCCAGCUCCUCGCAUCUGGCUUUGUGAGACCCUGCGCAGAGCCAGACUCUUGUCUCCAUCAGGAGAACAAGCCUGCCGGAGAAUGAGAGACACACUACCCAGCUGUUUCCAUCUCCCUGGAUGAUGGUCAGCCACUCCCCAGAAACAGAGCCUGCAGCAGACCCAGCAGCUGACUACAAGUGCGUGAGAGAUCCCAGCUCAGGCCACAAGAACCAUCCAGGUGAUGGUUCAAGCUAAACUGUUGACUCACCAAGUCAUGUUAUUUUAAACAACUAAGUUUAAGAAUCGGGGGCCCCUGGGUGGCUCAGUGGUUUAGCCUCUGCCUUUGGCUCAGGUCAUGAUCCCAGGGUCCUGGGAUCCAGACCUGCAUCAGGCUUCCAAUGCGGAACCUGCUUCUCCUUCUGC